AAAAAAUCUUCUAUGUGGAGAUAGAUUUGUGUUAAUAGGACAUGAAACUUGAAACCUAUAUGGUGAAAAAUGUAACAAAUCUUGUAAAACGAGAGUGGUUUGAUGUUGAUGGUAAUUUUUCAUACACCUUAUCAGGGGCGAAUCCAGCCAUUUGAAAAAGGGGGGUCCAACUAUAAGUCACCAUUCCAAUGCAUUGAUCGUUAAAAAAAAGGGGGGUCCAACCCCCCUGAACUCUCCCCUGGAUCCGCCACUGCACCUUAUCACUAUUUGUCCGCCAUUACUGGAUAUCACACAGGUUGUAGUAAAAUUUUGAAGUAAAAAAAAAUAUCUGAAGUCACAAAAGGAAAAUUAUUGUCAUGAUUGUUGUAUUCGUCAAAAGUUCUAUGCAGUCGGGUCAGCCGGGGUUACCAAUAAUUAAGGUGUAUUCAAUAUGAUAGAUAAUUGCUAUAUAUCUAGGACCUUGAUUUAUCUCUUCUGUCACUUUAUGAUAUUGGUCGAGGGUGAUGCGGCAUGUGAUACGGAUUUUGCCAUGUUUUAUACGCUUUAUCAUAUAUUUCACCAGACUUUAUAUAUCUGUCACCAUACUUUACAUAUCUGUCACCAAACUUUAUAUAUCUGUCACCAGACUUUAUAUAUCUGUCACCAUACUUUAUAUAUCUGUCACCACACUUUUUAUAUCUGUCACCACACUUUAUAUAUCCGUCACCACACUUUAUAUAUCUGUCACCAGACUUUAUAUAUCUGUCACCAUAAUAUCUGUCACCACACUUUAUAUAUCUGUCACCACACUUUAUAUAUAUCUGUCACCAGACUCUGUCACCACACUUUAUAUAUCUGUCACCACACUUUAUAUAUCUGUCACCACACUUUGUAUAUCUGUCACCACACUUUAUAUUCUGUCACCACACUUUAUAUAUCUGCCACCACACUUUAUAUAUCUGUCACUAAACUUCUAUAUCUGUCACCAACUUUAUAUAUCUGUCACCACACUUUAUAUAUCUGUCACCACACAUUUAUAUAUCUGUCACCAGACUUUAUAUACUUCACCCAUAUAAUCUGUCACCACACUUCAAUAUCUGUCACCACACUUUAUUUAUUUAUAUUAUAUCUGUCACCAGACUCUGUCACCACACUUUAUAUAUCUGUCACCACACUUUAUAUAUCUGUCACCACACUUUAUAUUCUGUCACCACACUUUAUAUAUCAGCCACCACACUUUAUAUAUCUGUCACUAAACUUUCUAUAUCUGUCACCAGACUUUAUAUAUCUGUCACCAGACUUUAUAUAUAUCUGUCACCACACUUUACAUAUCUGUCACCAUACUUUAUAUAUCUGUCACCACAUUUUGUAUAUCUGUCCUCACACUUUGUAUAUCUAUCACCACACUUUUUAUAUCUGUCAUUACACUUGACAUAUCCAUCACCACACUAUAUAUAUCUAUCACUACUUUAUAUAUCUGUCACCAGACUUAAUAUAUCUAUCACCAUACUUUAUAUAUCUAUCACCAUACUUUAAAUAUCAAUCACCACACUUUAUAUAUCUGUCACCACACUUAACAUAUCCAUCAUCACACUUUAUAUAUCAAUCACCUCACAAUAUAUAUCUAUCACCUCACUUUAUAUAUCUGUCACCAGACUUUAUAUAUCUAUCCCCACACUUUACAUAUCUGUCACCACACUUUAUAUAUCUAUCACCACACUUUAUGUAUCUGUCGCCACACCUUAUAUAUCUGUCACCACACUUUAUAUAUCUAUCACCACACUUUAUUUAUCUGUUACCACACUUUAUAUAUCUAUCAACACACUUUAUUUAUCUGUUACCACACUUUAUAUAUCUCACCACACUUUAUAUAUGUGUCACAAUAUUUUAUAUAUAUGUCACCACACUUUAUAUAUCUCUCACCAGACUUUAUAUAUCUAUCACCACACUUCAUAUAUCUGUCACCAUACUUUAUAUAUCUGUCACUACACUUAACAUAUCCAUGAUCACACUAUAUAUAUCACUCACCUCACUAUAUCUAUAUCUUACUACUCACUUUAUAUAUCUUACACAACACUCUAUAUAUCUGUCACUAGACUUUAUAUAUCUAUCACCACACUUUAUAUAUCUGUCACCACACUUAACAUAUCCAUCAUCACACUUUAUAUAUCAAUCACCUCACUAUAUAUAUCUAUCACCUCACUUUAUAUAUCUAUCACUACACUCUAUAUAUCUGUCACCAGACUUUAUAUAUCUAUCCCCACACUUCACAUAUCUGUCACCACACUUUAUAUAUCUAUCACCACACUUUAUGUAUCUGUCACCACACCUUAAAUAUCUGUCACCAGACUUUAUAUAUCGAUCACUACACUUUAUUUAUCUGUUUCCACACUUUUAUAUCUAUCACCACACUUUACAAAUGUGUCACCAUACUGUAUAUAUAUGUCACCACACUUUAUAUAUCUGUCACCACACUUCAUAAAUCUUUCACCACACUUUUUAUAUCUGUCACCACACAUUAUAUAUACAUCACCACACCUUAUACACAUCACCACACCUUAUAUAUCUAUCACCUCACUUUAUAUAUCUAUCACCACACUUCAUAAACCAAUCAGCUCACUUUAUAUUUAUCUGUCACUAAACUUUAUACAUCUAUCACCACACUGUUCAUUUAUCCCUACACUGUUCAUCUGUCACUUCACAUUUUAUAUCUGUCACCAUACUUUAUAUAUCUGUCACUACACUUAACAUAUCCAUCACUACACUUUAUAUAUUCAUCACGUCACUAUAUAUAUCUAUCACCUCACUUUAUAUAUCUAUCACUACACUUUAUAUAUUUAUCCCCAAACUAAAUAUAUCUAUCACAUCACUCUAUAUAUCUGUCACCACACUUUAUAAAUCUGUCCCCACACUUAUUAUAUAUAUCAAUCACCACCCUUCAUAUAUCAAUCACCUAACUAUAUAUAUAUCUGUCACCACACUUUAUAAAUCUGUCAUCUUUUUUUAUAUUUGUCACCACACAUUUAAUUUACAUCACCUCAUAUAUCUGUCACCACACCUGAUAUAUCAAUCACCUCACUUCCUAUAUCUAUCAUCACACUUCCUAUAUCUAUCAUCACACUUUAUAUAUCUACCUCCACACCUAAUAUAUCAAUCACCUCACUUUCUAUAUCUAUCACCACACCUAAUAUAUCAAUCACCUCACUUUAGACAUUUGUAAGUACACUUUAUAUAUCUUAUCACCUCACUUUAUGUAUCUAUCACCACACUUUCUAUAUCUAUCACCACACCUAAUAUAUCAAUCACCUCUUUUUAUACAUCUGUUACUACACUUUACACAUUUAUAACCUUACUUUCUUUAUCACCUCACAUUCUUUAUCUAUCACCUCACUUUCUUUAUCUAUCACCUCAUUUUUUUUAUUUAUCACCUCAAUUUAUAUAUCCAUCACCUCAUAUGAUAUAGCCAUCACCACAGUAUAUAUAUUUAUCAUAUACUUGUAUACAAUAUUACUAAAAUUUUACAGUUCAAUAACAUUUGAAAUUAUCAAAAGGCUAUGAAAGGAUUACAGGUAUGUUGACCAGAUUCCUAAGAACUUCCAAAGCGGGCUGAUAAAGGUACCUUUAUUGACUGCUUCCGGAAUGUUAUCACAUGCCUUUCCGUUCAUUUCCGUGACGUUUAUCACAUGCAACUUCGUGCAUUUCCAGAAAUUUGAUUAAAAACGAUAACAAACGCGGAAAACACAAGUGAUACGACUUUCACAAAAUGGUUGAGGAGCAAAAUUAAUUAAGUUAAACAUGUUUUAAAGACACAAAUGAGGUAACAAUAUAAUUGAAGAACAUAUGAUAAUUGUUGUGACAAGAAAAAUAAAUGCUUGUAAUAUCAAUAAAGACAUAAUAUUAUCUGAGAGUAUUUAUCACCUAACAUGAUAUCUUCACUUCAUUUAUCUAUUACCACCUUCUAUAUACCCCAUACUUAAUAUGUUUGGUAUAUUCUCUUACUGUAUAAGGCUAUCACAACUCUAUGUGUAUCUGUUAAAACCAUGUUUAUACCUAUUUGAAAGUGGAUAUAAGCAUACUAACGAUUAAUGUAUAUUUACAGCAAUCUGUGUAUGUUUGCUGAAAACUAAAAGUGAUUCAGUUCGGCACCUAUCAUUGUAACUAUUUGUUUUUCAACAUGGUUGAUUUUGUUGCACAAUCAUACACAUUUUAAUUUUGAAAACUAUUAUUGUCAUGGUAGAAAAGACUGAAGUUUAUGUGUGUAUCUUUUCAGAAAAUUGGUGGGAUUCUUAUUGCUAUAAAGAGAUAUUUGAAAAACAAACAGAACAUAUAAAAUCAUACCACAUGACUGAUAUCUGUAUAGAAUAUAAAUACAGCCUAGCGAUAUAUGUAGGACUGUAUCUGUAGGACACCAAAUUUGCGGAAUAGAUAUUUAUGACCACACUCUACAUAUCUAUCACCACUCUGUAUCAUUAAUCACCUUACUGUAUAUAUCUAUCACCACUCUGUAUCAUCAAUCAACAAACUAUAUAUGUAUCACCACUUUGUAUCAUCAGUCACCAUAUUGUAUAUAUCUAUCAGCACUCUGUAUCAUAAAUCACCUUCUUGUAUAUAUCUAUCACCGCACUAGAUAUCUAUCCCCACUCUGUAUCACCAAUUACCACACUGUAUAUAGUCUCACCUCUUUGUAUGUAUCUAUCACCACUCUGUUUCAUCAAUCCUCAUAGUGUAUAUAUCUUUCACCACUUUGUAUCAUCAAUCACCCUACUCUUUAUAUGUAUCACCACUGUGUAUCAUUUUUCACCACUCUGUAUCAUCAAUCACCACACUGUAUAUAUUUAUUACCACUCUGUAUCAUUAAUCACCACACUGUAUAUAUUAUCACUCUAUCAUUAAUCACCUUACUUUAUAUAUCUGUCAUCACACUGUAUAUAUCUAUCACCUAACGCAUCAUAUGUCACAACACAUUAUGUAUCUAUCACCACACUUUAUAUAUCUAUCAUCACACUGUAUAUAUCUAUCACCUCACUAUAUGCAUCUAUCACCUAACGCAUCAUAUGUCACAACACAUUAUGUAUCUAUCACCACACAUUAUAUAUCUAUCAUCACACUGUAUAUAUCUAUCACCUCACUAUAUAUAUCUAUCACCUAACGCAUCAUAUGUCACAACACAUUAUGUAUCUAUCACCACACUUUAUAUAUCUAUCAUCACACUUUAUACAUCUAUCAUCACACUUUAUACGUCUAUCACCUAAUUGAUCAUAUGUCACAACACUUUAUAUAUCUAUCACCACGCUGUAUAUAUGUCACCACACUUUGUAUAUCUAUCACCUCAUUUUAUUAAUAUACCACCUCUGUUUAUAUAUGUAUCACCUUAUUUAAAUAUCUAUCAAUACAAUGUACAUCUAUCACUACAUUUUAUAUCUCUAUCACCUCAUUUUAUAUCUCUAUCACCUCACUUUAUACAUAUAUCACCACACUGUGUAUCUGUCACCACAAUUUGUAUAUCUAUCAUCUCACUUUAUAUAUCUUUCACCUUAAUUUAUAUAUUUCUCCUCAUUUUAUAUAUGUAUGACAUCCCUGAAAAUAUUUUAUUGACCUCACUGUUGAUAUUUUUUCACCAUAUUUUAUAUAUGUAUCCCCUCCACAUAUGUAUCUUUUAACUAACUGCACUGUUUAAAUCAAUCACAACACCAUUGAUAUAUAUGUCACCACACACAGUAUAUAUAUAUAUAUCAUCCUUUUGUUUAUAUAUCAUCACACUGUAUAUAUCUUAAUACUAUUCUGUGUAUUCUUUACCUCACUGUAUAUACACAUAACCCCACUAUAACUAAGUCCACACUUAUCACCUAUCUAUAUCUAUUUAUCACCAUCUUAUCAUAUUUAUAGUAACACAAUGAUUAUAUCUAUCAUCAUUCUGUAUCUAUUUUUCACCAGACUGUAUACUAUAACUUGUUGUAUCUUCUAUAAGUGAGAGAAAUAUACUGGUCAUUGUAUAAUUUACAGUGGAAGGAGAUAUUCAAUGUCCACUGAGAUAUGUUUGUAUAAGCUUGUAUACUUAUCAUGUAGCAAUUCUCAAAUUCAUUAUUUAUAUUUUUGUUCUUCUUACAGAAAUACCAAACAACAUUUUGCAAGGAUUUAGAGGUCAUUGGUGAAAAUGGAAGAAAGGACAUGGAUACAUCUAAUUUUAAAUGAAAUAACAAGAAUAGUUAAAUGAUUUACCACCAAGCAGCACUCAGCAAUAGUGAUGGUAAAGUAUUUUUAGAAAAUGAUACUCGAAAAAAGAUAUAUAUAGUGUGGUGUUUUAUAUGUUCCUCCAUUGCUGCAGUCGCUGUAUUCAUCACCACACUCUCCAUAUAUAUCCCAACAGUCUCAAUAGGUACCCUCAUACUAUGAUUAUCUAUCACUACAGUCUCAAUAGGUAUCCCAAUACUAUGAUUAUCUAUCACUACAGUCUCAAUAGCUAUCCCCAUUCUAUGAUUAUCUAUCACUACAGUCUCAAUAGCUAUCCCCAUACUAUGAUUAUCUAUCACUACAGUCUCAAAAGCUAUCCCCAUUCUAUGAUUAUCUAUCACUACAGUCUCAAUAGCUAUCCCCAUAAUAUGAUUAUCUAUCACUACACUCUCCAUGCCAAUGCCAACAGUCAUUAUGUAUAUAUCAUAAUAGUAUCAUAAUAGUCUCUAUGUAUAUCUCAGGAUAAUACAAAAGCUACCCCCUUACUUUAUUUACCAAUCACCUCUCUUUAUAUAUCAAUAACCACACUCUGUAUAUAUAUCCCCAUACUCUCUAUAUAUAUCCCUAUACUCUCUAUAUCUACCCCAAAAGUCUCUCUGUAUAUCUCCACAUAAUAAACACCUAUCACCUUACUUCAUUUAUCAAUCACCUCACUUUAUGUAUCAAUCACCACACUCUCUAUAUAUAUAUCCCCAACACUCUAUAUCUGCCCCAAAAGUCUCUCUGUAUAUCUCCACACAAUAAACACCUAUCAUCUUACUUUAUUUAUCAAUCACCUCACUUUAUAUAUCAAUCACCACACACACACACUCUAUAUAUCUAUCCCCACUCUCUUUAUCUACCCCAAAAGUCUAUCUGUAUAUCUUCACAUAAUAAACACCUAUCACCUCACUUUAUUUAUCAAUCUUUAUAUAUCAAUCACCAAACUUUCUAUAUAUAUCCCCACAGUCUCUAUGUUUAUGACCACAUCAUAAACACCUAUCACCUCACUUUAUUUAUCAAUCACCACACACUCUCUUUCUAUCCCCACAGUCUCUAUGUUUAUGACCAAAUCAAACACCAUCACUUUACUUUAUUUAUCCAUCACCUCACUUUAUAUCCACACACUUUCUUUAUCUAUCCCAUACUUGGAUAUCUAUCCCCACAGUCUCUAUAUUUGACCACAUUAUAAACCUAUCACUUUCUUUAUUUAUCCAUCACCUCAAUUUAUUUAACGAUCACACACACUCUCUAUAUAUUCCCACAGUUCUAUGUUUAUGACCACAUCAUAAACACCUAUCACCUUACUUUUUUUUCUCUCAAUUACCUCACUUUAUAUAUAAAUCACCACACACUCUCUAUAUCUAUCCCCUUACUCUCAAUAUCUAUCUCAAUAUCUAUCCCCAUAGUCUCAAUAUCUAUCCCCAUAGUCUCUAUGUUUAUGACCACAUCAUAAACACCUAUCACCUUACUUUAUUUAUCAAUCACCUCACUUUGUGUAUCAAUUACCACACUCUCUAUAUAUAAAUCCCCAACUCUCUAUAUCUGCUCCAAAAGUCUCUCUGUAUAUCUCCACACAAUAAACACCUAUCAUCUUACUUUAUUUAUCAAUCACAUCACUUUAUAUAUCAAUCACCAAACUUUCUAUAUAUAUCCCCACAGUCUCUAUGUUUAUGACCAAAUAACAAACACCAAUCACUUUACUUUAUUUAUCCAUCACCUCACUUUAUAUAUCAAUCACCACACACUUUCUAUAUCUAUCCCCAUACUUUGGAUAUCUAUCCCCACAGUCUCUAUGUUUAUGACCACAUUAUAAACACCUAUCACCUUACUUUAUUUAUCAAUCAUCUCACUUUAUUUAGCGAUCACCACACACUCUCUAUAUAUAUCCCCACAGUUUCUAUGUUUAUGACCACAUCAUAAACACCUAUCACCUUACUUUUUUUUAUCAAUCACCUCACUUUAUAUAUAAAUCACCACACACUGUCUAUAUCUAUCCCCAUACUCUCAAUAUCUAUCCCCACAGUCCCUAUGUUUAUGACCACAUUAUAAACACCUAUCACCUUACUUUACAUACCUUUCACUUCACUUUAUAUAUCAGUCACCACACACUCUCUAUAUAUAUCCCCACAGUUUCUAUGUUUAUGACCACACCAUAAACACCUAUCAUCUUACUUUAUUUUUCAAUCACCUCACUUUAUAUAUCAAUCACCACACACUCUAUAUAUCUAUCCCCAUACUCUCGAUAUCUACCCCAAAUGUCUCUGUGUAUAUCUCCACAUAGUAAACACCUAUCAUCUUACUUUAUUUAUCCAUCAACUCACUUUAUAUAUCAAUCACCACACUCUCUCUAUUUCUAUCCCCAUACUCUCAAUAUCUAUCCCCACAGUCUCUUUGUAUUAUUUAUCACUCACCUCACUUUGUAUAUCAAUCACCAUGUGCACUCACUCUCUAUAUCUAUCCAGAUACUCUCUAUAUCUACCCCAAAAGUCUCUAUGUAUAUCUCCACAUUAUAAAUACCUAUCAUCUUACUUUAUUUAUCAAUCACCUCAUUACAUAUAUCAAUCACCACACACUCUCUAUAUAUAUCCCCAUUCUCUGGAUAUCUAUCCCCACAGUCUCUAUGUUUAUGACAACAUUAUAAACACCUAUCACUUUACUUUACAUACCUUUCACCUCACUUUAUAUAUCAAUCACCACAUUCUCUAUAUCUAUCACAAUACUCUCUAUAUCUAGCCCAAAAUUCUCUAUGUAUAUCUUCACACAAUAUACCCUAUCAUCUUACUAAAAUACCAAUCACCUCACUUUGUAAAUGAAUUACUCAUUUUAUAUGUAUCACCUCACUGAAAAUAUCUAUCAGCUCACUGUUUAUAUUUUCACCUCAAUAUAUACAUUAUGUUUUUCACACCACUGGGUAUAUCUCUCAAAGCCCUAUUUAUUCCAACUUGAAAGUGGAUAUGAGUAUGAUAAUAAUCCACGUUUCUGUACAGAAAUUUGUUUAUGUUAAUUUAGAUUUUAAACUUAAAAUAACUCAAUGUGUCACCUAUCAUUGUUAUUAUUUUUUUUCUUCAGAAAAGUGAAACAAGAUUUUUGAUAGAUAGAAAAUAGAAGAAAAGGAAAAGGUAAUCUUCAUUGAAAUUAAAAAGUUAAUUAGCAAAGUAUUAUACAUAUGUAUGUAAAGAGUUAAUUAGCAAUUAAACAAUCCUGGUUGAAAUGAAAUAAUUUAAAAGAAAUGUUUUUUAAAGUAUAACCGCUCCAACAUGUCAUGCAAUAUUUUAUGUAAAUAUCAUGUCAGGCAUCUUUUCAGUAAAAGCAGCAAAUAUGAUAUACUAACUGGGGGUCAAUGAUUGUAACAUUCAAAAUGAGUAAACCUUAUAAAUAUAUUGUUUCAGUGUUAUUGCACUUGUAGCAUUGUCUACAGUAAUACAUCUGCUGGCACACACAUAAUGUAUAUACCACCACAUAUUAUGUAUCUACUGCCACACAUAAUAUACUAAUCAAUCAAUACACUGUGUAUAUCUAUCACCACACUAUGUUUGUCUUUCACCGCACUAUUGUCCAUCACCACACUAUUUUUGUCUAUCACCACACUAUCUUUGUCUAUCACCACACUAUCUUGUCUAUCACCACACUAUGUUUGUCUAUCACCACACUAUGUUUGUCUAUCACCACACUAUGUUUGUCUAUCACCACACUAUUGUCUAUCACCACACUAUCUUUGUCUAUCACCACACUAUCUUUUUCCAUCACCACACUACGUUUGUCUAUCACCACACUAUGUUUGUCUAUCACCACACUUUAUAUUUUAAUCAUCACAGUUGUAAAGCAAAGAAAAGUAAUUACCCAAGAAAAAAAUGAUUUGAACUUUUCAUUUAAAUGAUUGGUCUCACAAAUGAAUUGUAUUUCUAUAAGUUUUACAUUUUGAUACUGUCUUGGGAUUCUGCCAUUGCAAUGAUGAAACACUCUACUUGUCCUUGUCCUUAGAUGUCAAAUUGACAACAAAACAAAUGGACUAACAAAUUGUGUUUGGGGCUUUUAAAUUUUGUAUUGUUUUGGAAUAAUUAUUUAUUCAACUGAACCAUAUUGUUAUGUUUUAGGUUAAACAAGAUUUAGUGCCUGCCACACAAUUAAGAAAGAAUGAGAGGCAAGAAUGUCUACAGAACAGAGGAGAUUAUUUGUACUGCACUUCGAUUUGUGUUAUAGUUAUAUUCAAUUAGUAUUAAAGAGUUAUGUACAAUAA
rnacentral:lncRNA from 1 species